AGCUGGAUGAGUCAAUGGGGAGUGAAUGUGUACACGUUGCCUGAAUUAAUUAAAGGACAAGGUCUGAUAUAACUCUGGAGUGAAUAUGGAAGCACCCACAGAUUCCAUUUGAAGAAGAUGAGUACAAACCAGCCAGCCUUGCUUUUCUGGUCCUUCAGAUUUCAGGAGAGUUCUAUGCAUCACUAAGGAUAGGUUGACCUAAUAAAAAUGUUAGUGUAUUCACUAACUGCGCUGGGCAGGACACGUUUCUAGGAUGAAGGACCACCGCCUCCCCAAAAUAGUAUUCUACGGUGAGCUCGCCACGGGUCAGCGUAAGAGGGGCGCCCCAAAGAAGAGAUACAAGGACA